rnacentral:rRNA from 1 species
AGUGAACGCUGGCGGUAGGCCUAACACAUGCAAGUUGAACGGCAGCACAGUAAGAGCUUGCUCUUACGGGUGGCGAGUGGCGGACGGGUGAGGAAUACAUCGGAAUCUACUUUUUCGUGGGGGAUAACGUAGGGAAACUUACGCUAAUACCGCAUACGACCUACGGGUGAAAGCAGGGGAUCUUCGGACCUUGCGCGAUUGAAUGAGCCGAUGUCGGAUUAGCUAGUUGGCGGGGUAAAGGCCCACCAAGGCGACGAUCCGUAGCUGGUCUGAGAGGAUGAUCAGCCACACUGGAACUGAGACACGGUCCAGACUCCUACGGGAGGCAGCAGUGGGGAAUAUUGGACAAUGGGCGCAAGCCUGAUCCAGCCAUACCGCGUGGGUGAAGAAGGCCUUCGGGUUGUAAAGCCCUUUUGUUAGGAAAGAAAAGCAGCAGGUUAAUACCCCGCUGUUCUGACGGUACCCAAAGAAUAAGCACCGGCUAACUUCGUG